GACGAGGGAUCCUAGCGUUGCUCGGAAUCAUUGGGCGUAAAGCGGGUGUAGGUGGCUUGACAAGUCAGGUGUGAAAGCCCAGGGCUCAACCCUGGAAGUGCAUUUGAAACUGUCGAGCUUGAGUGCUAGAGAGGUUAUUAGAAUACCUAGUGUAGUGGUGAAAUACGUAGAUAUUAGGUGGAACACCGGAGGCGAAGGCGGAUAACUGGCUAGACACUGACACUGAGGAGCGAAAGCGUGGGGAGCGAACAGG
rnacentral:rRNA from 1 species